UACGUAGGGGGCAAGCGUUGUCCGGAAUCAUUGGGCGUAAAGAGCGUGUAGGCGGCUCGGUAAGUCCGCUCUGAAAGCCCGGGGCUCAACCCCGGGAGGCGGGCGGAUACUGUCGGGCUAGAGUCCGGAAGAGGCGAGUGGAAUUCCUGGUGUAGCGGUGAAAUGCGCAGAUAUCAGGAGGAACACCAAUGGCGAAGGCAGCUCGCUGGGACGGUACUGACGCUGAGACGCGAAAGCAUGGGGAGCGAACAGG
rnacentral:rRNA from 1 species